GUGUCAGCAGCCGCGGUAAUACGUAGGGUGCGAGCGUUAAUCGGAAUUACUGGGCGUAAAGCGUGCGCAGGCGGUUUUGUAAGCCAGAUGUGAAAUCCCCGGGCUUAACCUGGGAAUGGCAUUUGGGACUGCAAGGCUCGAGUGCGGCAGAGGAGACUGGAAUUCCUGGUGUAGCAGUGAAAUGCGUAGAUAUCAGGAGGAAUACCGAUGGCGAAGGCAGGUCUCUGGGCUGACACUGACGCUCAUGCACGAAAGCGUGGGGAGCAAACAGGAUUAGAUACCCCCGUAGUCC
rnacentral:rRNA from 1 species